rnacentral:rRNA from 1 species
AUUGAACGCUGGCGGCAUGCUUUACACAUGCAAGUCGAGCGGCAGCACGGGGGUAACCCUGGUGGCGAGCGGCGAACGGGUGAGUAAUACAUCGGAACAUGCCCAGUCGUGGGGGAUAACACUUCGAAAGAAGUGCUAAUACCGCAUACGUCCUGAGGGAGAAAGCGGGGGAUCGCAAGACCUCGCGCGAUUGGAGUGGCCAAUGUCAGAUUAGCUAGUUGGUGGGGUAACGGCCUACCAAGGCAACGAUCUGUAGCUGGUCUGAGAGGAUGAUCAGCCUGAUGGGGACUGAGACACGGCCCAGACUCCGACGGGAGGCAGCAGUGGGGAAUUUUGGAGGAUGGGGGCAACCCUGAUCCAGCCAUUCCGCGUGAGUGAAGAAGGCCUUCGGGUUGUAAAGCUCUUUCGGCAGGAACGAAACGGUGAGCUCUAACAUAGCUUGCUAAUGACGGUACCUGAAGAAGAAGCACCGGCUAACUACGUG